UGGAAAGAAAACGCUCUGGUUAAUACCCGGGGCGGAUGACGGUACCGGAAGAAUAAGCACCGGCUAACUACGUGCCAGCAGCCGCGGUAAUACGUAGGGUGCAAGCGUUAAUCGGAAUUACUGGGCGUAAAGCGUGCGCAGGCGGUCCGCUAAGACAGAUGUGAAAUCCCCGGGCUUAACCUGGGAACUGCAUUUGUGACUGGCGGGCUAGAGUAUGGCAGAGGGGGGUAGAAUUCCACGUGUAGCAGUGAAAUGCGUAGAGAUGUGGAGGAAUACCGAUGGCGAAGGCAGCCCCCUGGGCCAAUACUGACGCUCAUGCACGAAAGCGUGGGGAGCAAACAGGAUUAGAUACCCUGGUAGUCCACGCCCUAAACGAUGUCAACUAGUUGUCGGGUCUUCAUUGACUUGGUAACGUAGCUAACGCGUGAAGUUGACCGCCUGGGGAGUACGGUCGCAAGAUUAAAACUCAAAGGAAUUGACGGGGACCCGCACAAGCGGUGGAUGAUGUGGAUUAAUUCGAUGCAACGCGAAAAACCUUACCUACCCUUGGCAUGUAUGGAACCUGGCCGAGAGGUCGGGGUGCCCGAAAGGGAGCCAUAACACAGGUGCUGCAUGGCUGUCGUCAGC
rnacentral:rRNA from 1 species